GGGGACAAAGCCAUUGAUAGACACACUUUCACACUCUCACUCCCACCCACAGUCAAUUCAGAGUCACCAACUCACCAAACCUGCAUGUCUUUGAAAGUGGGAGGAAGCCGAAGCACCAAGAGGGAGCCCACAC